CUCAUACUUCCUCCGUCCGAAAAAGCUUGUCCCUCAAAUGGAUGUAUCUAGCACGAAGUUAGUGCUAGAUACAUCCAUUUGAGGGACAAGCUUGGGACAAGCUUUUUCGGACGGAGGGAGAAGAAA
rfam:Triticum urartu cultivar G1812 contig1163485, whole genome shotgun sequence.